CUGAGAAGACAAGCAAUCGCUUUUACAUGAAAGUGUAGAGGAGGAAAGUCUGGACUUUAUAGGAGAGGAUGCCAGUGAAAGACUGGGGGCCGCAAGGCUACGGAAAGUGCCACAGAAAACAAACCGCUAACAAGCUAUGCUUGUUAGAUAGGGUGAAAUGCCUGCUUUAGGAGCAUGGCCUUAUCUAGAGAAAUUUAGAAAGUGGUAAACCCCAUCCAAAGCAAGACGGAAAUAAAGCGAUACAGUUCUCCGCUGUGCUUUAGAAAAGUCGCUUGAGGGUUUCGGUGACGGCGCCCCUAGAGGAAUGAUUGCUCGUCUGCUUUGCAGACCGACAGAAUCCGGCUUAUCGUCUUCUCAGAUCU
rnacentral:RNase_P_RNA from 3 species